AUAUUGUGACCCUCAGGUGAAUAAUGGUGUCAGAGGAGAAGGAGCGAGAUGUGGCGUGGAAGGAGCUGCGCAGGAGGAAGAGGAUGGAGGAGGUGGAGGAGCUGACCACUGCGGGACACAACGCUCUGUAAUCGGGACAAACCCAGGAGGCGCUACCGUUUCAGAGGAUCAAAGGAGACUGAAGGCAGCCCGCCAGGUUUCCACGCAGCGGCUUAGGACUAAUUCUACAUCUGGACCUUAAGGACGGCUCUGAAGGACCAUGUGCACGGUGGGAAUGGAGCAUGGGACAGACCUUUGCCAAUCAAAGGAAACCGGUGGAGAGGGGUCACCUGCCAGCCCCAAGUAUUGGAGACAGUGAUGGCAGCCAAGGACUAAUGCCACCUCUAUGAGGAGGUAAUCUACCUGCUGGACUCCCUGCUUCGGACAUUCCUACAGAAGGGUGUGUAUGGCAUCACCACACCAUAUGAUGUGUUGACUGCAAGGGUGAAAGAACUCCUGGGACUUAUCAAAGCAAUUUUGAAAAAAACAAACAAAAAAGUGGAUUGCCUGAUAUGUAAAUGAACUGUGGAAGUUGUUGAGAUUGUUUAAAUCACAUUGUGGCAUUGGAGUUUAUGCUGUGGCAAUAAGUACCAAAAACAGUCCAAAAGUCGGAUACAGGCAACAUGUUUGCAUUAACUUUUCCACAAGUUUAGGUUUUGACCAGAUUCUGGACUCUCUCGUAUUCAGACACUAAAACAAUAAAAUAUUUUUGCAGAAGUGCAUAAAAGCUCGAUCAAUAUGCACUUCCAGUGGUGCAGAAGUGACAUUCACCUCCGGGUUAAUGUAAUCUUUAUACAAUGUUUUACGUGAUAGCGUUUCAACCAAUGAGCAUCCAGAUUGACAAAUCAAGUAAUAAUACAUUUUAUUGUCACUGCAUACAUGUAAGAUGUUUGCUUUAAAUUGUUCAGAGGUUGUUUUGACUGCUUAAAGCCAAACUAUGACGAGUCUAUUGAAACAACUGUUUGUGAUACUGCCUUUUGUGUUAUAACCAACAAACAACCCUAACUACACUUAUAAAUUGUUUUACAUAUGUGUACUAUUGUUGAAUUGCAGUCGGAAGACUUAUUUGAAAAUAAACUAAACCUAAACCUAAACUUAAGACAAACAGCACUGGAGGUAUAACCUUGGUUGGUACAUUAUUUGAUUUGGGUACUAGAAUUAAAUUCACAGAAGUAUUAACCAAUAUUAAUGGUUCCAUUUGUUUGGUUAAAUUUAACCAAUCUGGUUGGUGUCCAACCGAUCUAUU
rnacentral:lncRNA from 1 species